GGAAGUCAAUCAUCUAAACUUU
rnacentral:snRNA from 1 species